UAGGGAAUCUUCCGCAAUGGACGAAAGUCUGACGGAGCAACGCCGCGUGAGUGAAGAAGGAUUUCGGUUCGUAAAACUCUGUUGUUAGGGAAGAAAAAAUGUAUAGUAACUAUAUACAAAAGAGACGGUACCUAACCAGAAAGCCACGGCUAACUACGUGCCAGCAGCCGCGGUAAUACGUAGGUGGCAAGCGUUGUCCGGAAUUAUUGGGCGUAAAGCGCGCGCAGGUGGUUUAGAAAGUCUGAUGUGAAAGCCCACGGCUCAACCGUGGAGGGUCAUUGGAAACUAAUAAACUUGAGUGCAGGAGAGAAAAGUGGAAUUCCUAGUGUAUCGGUGAAAUGCGUAGAGAUUAGGAGGAACACCGGUGGCGAAAGCGGCUUUUUGGCCUGCAACUGACACUGAGGCGCGAAAGCGUGGGGAGCAAACAGG
rnacentral:rRNA from 1 species